GUGACAACUCAGAUCUGCCAACAAUGUGGCAGCAGUCCAGCUGCUGUCCGUUGUCGUGACUGCAGACCACAACCAUUUUUCUGUGCUGAUUGUGAUGUCAGUAUACACCGAAACCACGUAUUCCACAACAGGGAUGCAACAAUAGCUGGAUUCUUUCAGCCAUUGCCUCCAACAACCUGUGUCGUGGAGAGGGCUCUUUCCCAGUGUGUGUGUAUUGUGCCAUUGGAGAUGCCCAAAAAAAUAUGUAGUUGUUCUCCAGGAUCGUUGAGUGUCAACACAGGAAAAGUUGUUGCUGUGGUUACAAUGAAUGGACGAUAUGAUCUCAGUAUGCCUGAGAUGAAAUGCGAGGCAUGCAAAGCCACAUGGAGCCCUGGAGUGGAUGACUUAGUCCGUAAUGACUACUGGCCUGCUACCUUUCACUUUUCCACGGUGUACUCUAUAGAUGUGUUUUAUUCAUAUGAAGAGUUGAAGAUGGCAGCACCAGGACUGUCCUGCCAAGCAUUUUUAAGAAUGCUUGAUCAACGAACUGUCCGCUUUGGCCGUGUGAGUAUUAGUGGUGGGAAUCACUAACAACUAGUACUAGUAUUAACGUGUAUUGUAGAAUGACUAUGGUGAUAUUAUCAACACAUUGAUUAUUAUAAUUGGAGCAUGUUGAUGGUAUCAAAACACAGUGAUUUAGCUAUACACGAUACAUUGAUAG